GACGAACGCUGGCGGCGUGCUUAACACAUGCAAGUCGAGCGGUAAGGCCCUUUCGGGGGUACACGAGCGGCGAACGGGUGAGUAACACGUGGGUGACCUGCCCUCAGCUCUGGGAUAAGCCUGGGAAACCGGGGUCUAAUACUGGAUAUGACUCCAUGACGCAUGUUGUGGGGUGGAAAGCCUUGUGCGGCUGAGGAUGGGCCCGCGGCCUAUCAGCUUGUUGGUGGGGUGAUGGCCUACCAAGGCGACGACGGGUAGCCGGCCUGAGAGGGCGACCGGCCACACUGGGACUGAGACACGGCCCAGACUCCUACGGGAGGCAGCAGUGGGGAAUCUUGCGCAAUGGGCGAAAGCCUGACGCAGCGACGCCGCGUGAGGGAUGACGGCCUGUGU
rnacentral:rRNA from 1 species